CCAACGGCUCUUUUAGGAGCCACCACAUACAAUGAAGGUCGUGAUC
rfam:Nematostella vectensis strain CH2 x CH6 NEMVEscaffold_7542_Cont53353, whole genome shotgun sequence.